AUGCCGCUGACGGAGGCCGAGAGGCCCCAGCGAGGAGGGGAAGUGUUGAAAGCUUGCAGACAGGAAGUGCCAGAUGUCAACAGAGGCGCGGCCCACAGGGACCAGGAAGAUGGCCCGGGCCCACGCGGCGUGGACGAGAGUCACUCCCUGCGCCCCAGUCCCGAGUGGAAUGUGGACAGCAGCCACAAACCCCUAUGUACUAGCGGGGGCGGGGCUGCCGAGGCAGGAGGAAGAUGGCGGCGGGGGCGAGGUAUUUUCAAAAGAAAUAAUUCCAGAUUGAUGGAUGAAAUUUUAAAACAACAGCAGGAACUUCUGGGCUUAGAUUGUUCCAAAUACUCACCAGAGUUUGCAAAUAGUAAUGACAAAGAUGAUCAAGUUUUAAAUUGCCAGUCGUCAGUGAAGGUGCUGUCCCCAGAAGAUGGAAAAGCAGAUAUUGUAAGAGCUGCUCAAGACUUCUGCCAGUUAGUAGCCCAGCAGCAAAAGAAAUCCACAGAUUUGGAUGUAGAUAUGUUAGACAGUUUACUUAGUUCAAAUGGUUUCCCUGACCCUGAUUUAGUAUUGAAGUUUGGUCCUGUGGACAGCACACUAGGCUUUCUUCCCUGGCACAUCAGGUUGACUGAGAUUAUCUCUUUGCCUUCCCACCUAAACAUCAGUUAUGAGGACUUUUUCUCUGCCCUCCGUCAGUAUGCAGCCUGUGAACAGCGUCUGGGGAAAUAGUGAUUUGCUGGUCGUGUGAUUUGAUUUCAGGCUUUUGGAGAAAAGGACUCAAGUGACUGUGAUGUUUACAAAGCACCUAUGAAACCCUGUACACACCUAGUUCAUAAUCCUCAUAAUUUAUCAACAAACACAAAAAAGUGUCUUACUUGAGAGUAAGAGAAUGUGUGAGCGAGUGUGUGUGUGCGCGCGCGUGUGUGUGCAUGUGUGUGUGGAAAUAAACUUAUAAAUGAGGAAGUAGUGGAGAAGGAGACGUGGUGAGCUUGUACCUUUGAGCAGAUUGCAGCAAUGUUUUAGGAGCUGAAAUUUCAGAUUUAAAGGCUUCAGCCCUAACUACUUCCCUGUUUUUCUGGGGAGAGAAAGGGGCAAUUAAAGGUAUUUUGUUGUUUAGGGGGGUCGGGGAGUAAUUUUUGUUCAGUUUUUCCAAGUGACCAAACUUUAAGUUUUAAGAAUAAUAUAUUGACAUAUGAAAUGGAAGCAUUCUGAGUUUGAGGGAUGGAGUUCCGUGUUGUUCACAUGUUAAAAGUUUGCUCACCUUUGGAGCAGAGGGAAUACCUGUUUUCAGACAUCCGUCCAUUUUCAUCUCUUCAUUAUUAUCAAUGUGACUUGAAAAUGUUGCUCUGUUGUCUGUGUUCUGGGUUGUGAAGAUCAUUUGAAAAAGAACUUACAUUGGAAAACAAUUUUAAAAUUUUUAAAUAUUGUAUGAGACAGUCAAAAAAAAGGUAAAAAGUCAUAAUCUGAAAAGUAAAGGUGGAAAGUUUCCCAAAUAAGUAGAGAAAGUUUUGAUUUCCUUUUCCAUUUGGUGGGCAGUUGGCGAGAUAGUACCCAGAGUUGGUUUAAAAAAUAUUUCCAUUAACUAUGUUUAUUUAAAAUAAGCAUUUGAGGGAAGUUACCAAGGCAGCUCUUUUCCUCAAAAGUAACCUGUUCCUCUUUGGAAUAGCACAUGUAGGGCCAUGUUAGUACCCAGGAUUUUUACUGAGUAAAUCCUGAUGGUAACUUUGUAUUGAAAGAUCUUUAAGUGAGAUUGAGGCCUGUGUAGGUAAUAAAAUAAUGCCACAGUCUACAAAAGUAAUUUAAUUUUGCAUGUUCUCUUUCAUGGCAGAGAACAGCACUGGUUUUGUUAUUUUUUAAAUGAAUAGAUGAUUUUUUGAUAGGUGUUUAGUAGUUCUCCCCUCUCUGCUGAUACCUGGACAGAAACCAUUCUUUAUAUAUUUGAUGGACAGUUUUCAGAAGAAUCUUAUCAACAGCAAGUGCACAACAGUUAUCCAGAAUGAUACGUUUAGGACGGAGUAGUUUUAAAUACUAGGUCUCAGUCUGAAAAACAGCAGAGAACACUGGAUUUGGAAAGCAAGGUCUAGAAUUGCUUGUCAGAUUCUGAGUCUAUGAAGAAUAAAUGUUUUGACUUUGGAUU